UACAGGGGGGGGCAAGCGUUUGUUCGGAAUUACUGGGCGUAAAGGGCCAGUAGGCGGCCUGCUAAGUCCGACGUGAAAUCCCCCAAGCUUAACUUGGGAACUGCGUCGGAUACUGGUGGGCUUGAAUUCGGGAGAGGGAUGCAGAAUUCCAGGUGUAGCGGUGAAAUGCGUAGAUAUCUGGAGGAAUACCGGUGGCGAAGGCGGCAUCCUGGACCGACAUUGACGCUGAACGGCGAAAGCUAGGGGAGCAAACGGG
rnacentral:rRNA from 1 species